rnacentral:tRNA from 1 species
CGCGGGGUGGAGCAGUAGGUAGCUCGUCGGGCUCAUAACCCGAAGGUUGCUGGUUCAAAUCCAGCCCCCGCAACCA